GAUGAAGAACGUAGCGAAAUGCGAUAAGUAAUGUGAAUUGCAGAAUUCAGUGAAUCAUCGAAUCUUUGAACGCACAUUGCGCCCGCCAGUAUUCUGGCGGGCAUGCCUGUUCGAGCGUCAUUUCAACCCUCAGGCCCCCAGUGCCUGGUGUUGGGGAUCGGCCCAGCCUUCCUGUAAGGCCGCCGGCCCCGAAAUCUAGUGGCGGUCUCGCUGUAGUCCUCCUCUGCGUAGUAGCACAACCUCGCAGUGGGAACGCGGCGGUGGCCAUGCCGUUAAACACCCCACUUCUGAAAGUUGACCUCGGAUCAGGUAGGAAUACCCGCUGAACUUAAGCAUAUCAAUAAGCGGAGGA
rnacentral:misc_RNA from 1 species